rnacentral:rRNA from 1 species
UACGGAGGGUGCGAGCGUUGUCCGGAAUCACUGGGCGUAAAGGGCGCGUAGGCGGCCUGAUAAGUAGGGGGUGAAAUCCUGCGGCUUAACCGCAGGGCUGCCUUCUAAACUGUCGGGCUAGAGCACGGUAGAGGCAGAUGGAAUUCCCGGUGUAGCGGUGGAAUGCGUAGAGAUCGGGAAGAACAUCAGUGGCGAAGGCGGUCUGCUGGGCCGUUGCUGACGC